rnacentral:rRNA from 1 species
UACGUAGGGGGCUAGCGUUGUCCGGAAUCAUUGGGCGUAAAGAGCGUGUAGGCGGCCAGGUAGGUCUGCUGUGAAAACUCGAGGCUCAACCUCGAGACGUCGGCGGAAACCAUCUGGCUAGAGUCCGGAAGAGGAGAGUGGAAUUCCUGGUGUAGCGGUGAAAUGCGCAGAUAUCAGGAAGAACACCCGUGGCGAAGGCGGCUCUCUGGGACGUGACUGACGCUGAGACGCGAAAGCGUGGGAGCAAACGGG